rnacentral:lncRNA from 1 species
GCUUCUUUAGCUACCUCCUCUGCUUCCUUCAAUGGGUUCUCUUCGAUUUUGGGCUCAUGGGUCGGUUUAGUUUCUGAUUCAGAAAUGGGUGGUGGUGCUUCAGCUGCUGCUGCUGCUUUUUCCUGGGCCUCUUGGAGUUUUGGGGAAGUGAACUGGUGGCCGUUGAGAGCUUCCUGGACGAGCUGCUUCAGUUCUUGAAGAGCUUUUCUCUCGGAAUCCGAUAGAUCAGCCACUAUAUUGCUCUCCUCCUUGAACGAAAUCAAAGAUCGAGGAAUCUGCUUCCGCUCCGGCUCUUCUUUCUGAGUUUUUUCCCCCGACUCCGUCUCCACC